AUUCCAGCUCCAAUAGCGUAUAUUAAAGUUGUUGCGGUUAAAAAGCUCGUAGUUGGAUUUCUGCCGAGGAUGACCGGUCCGCCCUGUGGGUGUGCAUCUGGCUCAGCCUUGGCAUCUUCCUGAAGAACGUAGCUGCACUUGACUGUGUGGUGCGGUAUUUAGGACAUUUACUUUGAGGAAAUUAGAGUGUUUCAAGCAAGCGCACGCUUUGAAUACAUUAGCAUGGAAUAAUAAGAUAGGACCUCGGUUCUAUUUUGUUGGUUUCUAGUACCGAAGUAAUGAUUGAUAGGGAUAGUUGGGGGUGCUAGUAUUGGCCGGCCAGAGGUGAAAUUCUUGGAUUCGGUCAAGACUAACUUAUGCGAAAGCAUUCACCAAGGAUGUCUUCAUUA
rnacentral:rRNA from 1 species